AUUGCCUAGUACGGCGAGUGAAGCGGCAACAGCUCAAAUUUGAAAGCUGGCUCCGGCCCGCAUUGUAAUUUGCAGAGGAUGCUUUUGGCGAGGUGCCUUCCGAGUUCCCUGGAACGGGACGCCAUAGAGGGUGAGAGCCCCGUAUGGAUGGACACCAAACCUGUGUAAAGCUCCUUCAACGAGUCGAGUAGUUUGGGAAUGCUGCUCUAAAUGGGAGGUAAAUCUCUUCUAAAGCUAAAUACCGGCCAGAGACCGAUAGCGCACAAGUAGAGUGAUCGAAAGAUGAAAAGCACCUUGAAAAGGGGGUUAAACAGUACGUGAAAUUGUUGAAAGGGAAGCAUUUAUGACCAGACUUGCGCCGGGCAGCUCAUCAGGGGUUCUCCCCUGUGCACUCUGCCCGGCUCAGGCCAGCAUCGGUUCUCGUGGGAGGAUAAGAACAGUGGGAACGUGGCCCCCCUCCGGGGGGGUGUUAUAGCCCAUUGUACGAUACUCUCGUGGGGACCGAGGUUCGCGCUCCGCAAGGAUGCUGGCGUAAUGGUCAUCAAUGACCCGUCUUACC
rnacentral:rRNA from 1 species